AACGCACGAGACCUGCGGACCUGCGGAGGGAUCAUUACCGAGUUAUCCAACUCCCAACCCCUGUGAAUCAUACCUUUAAUUGUUGCUUCGGCGGGACUUCGCGCCCGCCGGGGACCCAAACCUUCUGAAUUUUUUAAUAAGUAUCUUCUGAGUGGUUAAAAAAAAUGAAUCAAAACUUUCAGCAACGGAUCUCU
rnacentral:misc_RNA from 1 species